UGAGGAGUAUUGGUCAAUGGGCGAGAGCCUGAACCAGCCAAGUAGCGUGCAGGAUGACGGCCCUAUGGGUUGUAAACUGCUUUUAUAUGGGAAUAAAGUGAGGGACGUGUCCCUUAUUGCAUGUACCAUAUGAAUAAGGACCGGCUAAUUCCGUGCCAGCAGCCGCGGUAAUACGGAAGGUCCAGGCGUUAUCCGGAUUUAUUGGGUUUAAAGGGAGCGUAGGCUGUUUGUUAAGCGUGUUGUGAAAUGUAAGAGCUCAACUUUUAGAUUGCAGCGCGAACUGACAGACUUGAGUGCGCACAACGUAGGCGGAAUUCAUGGUGUAGCGGUGAAAUGCUUAGAUAUCAUGACGAACUCCGAUUGCGAAGGCAGCUUACGGGAGCGCAACUGACGCUAAAGCUCGAAGGUGCGGGUAUCGAACAGG
rnacentral:rRNA from 1 species